rnacentral:rRNA from 1 species
CGGGACGGGUGAGUAACGCGUGGAAAACCUGCCGUAUACUGGGGGAUAACACUUAGAAAUAGGUGCUAAUACCGCAUAAGCGCACAGCUUCGCAUGAAGCGGUGUGAAAAACUCUGGUGGUAUACGAUGGUUCCGCGUCUGAUUAGCUAGUUGGUGGGGCAAUGGCCUACCAAGGCAACGAUCAGUAGCCGGCCUGAGAGGGUGAACGGCCACAUUGGGACUGAGACACGGCCCAAACUCCUACGGAAGGCAGCAG